rnacentral:rRNA from 1 species
AUUGAACGCUGGCGGCAGGCCUAACACAUGCAAGUCGAGCGGAUGAAGGGAGCUUGCUCCUGGAUUCAGCGGCGGACGGGUGAGUAAUGCCUAAGAAUCUGCCUGGUAGUGGGGGAUAACGUCCGGAAACGGGCGCUAAUACCGCAUACGUCCUGAGGGAGAAAGUGGGGGAUCUUCGGACCUCACGCUCUCAGAUGAGCCUAGGUCGGAUUAGCUAGUUGGUGGGGUAAAGGCCUACCAAGGCGACGAUCCGUAACUGGUCUGAGAGGAUGAUCAGUCACACUGGAACUGAGACACGGUCCAGACUCCUACGGGAGGCAGCAGUGGGGAAUAUUGGACAAUGGGCGAAAGCCUGAUCCAGCCAUGCCGCGUGUGUGAAGAAGGUCUUCGGAUUGUAAAGCACUUUAAGUUGGGAGGAAGGGCAGUAAGUUAAUACCUUGCUGUUUUGACGUUACCAACAGAAUAAGCACCGGCUAACUUCGUG